UUUCCUACGGGGGGCAGCAGUGGGGAAUUUUGGACAAUGGGGGCAACCCUGAUCCAGCCAUGCCGCGUGUGUGAAGAAGGCCUUCGGGUUGUAAAGCACUUUCGGCCGGAACGAAAUCGCGCGGGUGAACAUCCCGCGUGGAUGACGGUACCGGAAGAAGAAGCACCGGCUAACUACGUGCCAGCAGCCGCGGUAAUACGUAGGGUGCGAGCGUUAAUCGGAAUUACUGGGCGUAAAGCGUGCGCAGGCGGCGUCGCAAGUCAGGCGUGAAAUCCCCGGGCUUAACCUGGGAAUGGCGCUUGAAACUACGAUGCUGGAGUAUGGCAGAGGGAGGUGGAAUUCCACGUGUAGCGGUGAAAUGCGUAGAUAUGUGGAGGAACACCGAUGGCGAAGGCAGCCUCCUGGGCCAAUACUGACGCUCAUGCACGAAAGCGUGGGGAGCAAACAGGAUUAGAUACCCCAGUAGUCC
rnacentral:rRNA from 1 species